CGCUUAACACAUGCAAGUCGCACGAGAAAGGGAGCAAUCCCCGGUACAGUGGCGCACGGGUGAGUAACACGUAGGUAAUCUGCCUCUGAGUGGUGGAUAACCUCCCGAAAGGGGGGCUAAUACAGCAUAAGACCACGGCUUCGAAAGGAGCUGAGGUCAAAGCCGGCCUCUUCAUGAAAGCUGGUGCUCGGAGAUGAGCCUGCGGCCCAUCAGGUAGUUGGCGGGGUAAUGGCCCACCAAGCCAAAGACGGGUAGCUGGUCUGAGAGGAUGAUCAGCCACACUGGAACUGAGACACGGUCCAGACUCCUACGGGAGGCAGCAGUGGGGAAUCUUGCGCAAUGGGCGAAAGCCUGACGCAGCGACGCCGCGUGGGUGAUGAAGGCCUUCGGGUUGUAAAGCCCUGUGGGGAGAGACGAAUAAGUCGUGGCUAACAUCCACGAUGAUGACGGUAUCUCCUUAGCAAGCACCGGCUAACUCUGUGCCAGCAGCCGCGGUAA
rnacentral:rRNA from 1 species